rnacentral:rRNA from 1 species
GAUGAACGCUGGCGGCGUGCUUAACACAUGCAAGUCGAACGAAGCAUUUAGAACAGUUUACUUCGGUUUGAAGUUCUUUAUGACUGAGUGGCGGACGGGUGAGUAACGCGUGGGUAACCUGCCUUGUACUGGGGGAUAGCAGCUGGAAACGGCUGGUAAUACCGCAUAAGCGCACAAUGUUGCAUGACAUGGUGUGAAAAACUCCGGUGGUAUAAGAUGGACCCGCGUCUGAUUAGCUAGUUGGUGAGAUAACAGCCCACCAAGGCGACGAUCAGUAGCCGACCUGGGAGGGUGACCGGCCACAUUGGGACUGAGACACGGCCCAGACUCCUACGGGAGGCAGCAGUGGGGAAUAUUGCACAAUGGAGGAAACUCUGAUGCAGCGACGCCGCGUGAGUGAAGAAGUAAUUCGUUAUGUAAAGCUCUAUCAGCAGGGAAGAUAGUGACGGUACCUGACUAAGAAGCUCCGGCUAAAUACGUG